rnacentral:rRNA from 1 species
UACGAAGGGUCCAAGCGUUGUUCGGAAUUACUGGGCGUAAAGCGCGCGUAGGCGGGCUUAUAAGUCGAUUGUGAAAUCCCUGGGCUUAACCUGGGAACUGCAGUCGAAACUGUAAGCCUUGAAUGUCUGAGAGGAUGGCGGAAUAACCGGUGUAGUAGUGAAAUACGUAGAUAUCGGUUAGAACACCUGAGGCGAAGGCGGCUAUCUGGCGGAACAUUGACGCUGAGGCGCGAAAGCGUGGGGAGCAAACAGG